rnacentral:lncRNA from 1 species
CCCAUCAUUGGUAGAUUGGAUAAAGAAAGUGUGGUACAUAUGGUCAUUUUAUUAGGAAGUGAAAUAAAGUGUAUGUUAAUGAGCAUGUUGCUUUUGUGGGCCUAAUCCUAACAGCAACCGUCUGAGAAGCUGUGUGGAGCAUCCCUCAAGUCAUCCUUUCUUGGAUGAUGGGGAGGCUGGGGCAUUUAUCCACUUACCUUCCUUCCCCAUUGGUUGAUGGGUGUCCCUGGUGGCAUGAACCCCUCUCACUUCAGGGUUGCAUUUGUUUUUGACAGAGCAAACCCCAUGGUGUUGGAGAAUCAGGAGAAGAAGAGAGAGGCUGGUCUAGAGGUGCAGAGCUUUCAGCAAACUGCUUACCACACCUAAGGUGAAUUCAGGUGGGCCCUGCAGGCAUGGGGUGUGGUGUUGACAGGGUCUGCUACACUUGGCAAGGGUUAAGGUUAGAAUUAGAGUCAGGAUUAGUAAACUCUGAUAGGUUGAAGUAAACAAAGAAAAAAGAGCAUCAGCAUCAACCUCUCCCACUCUUUCCUCAGGAUAUAUUGAGAACCACAUUUUGGCAAAGUGUGUAUAAACUAUUAAUAAAGUAUCAUUUAUUUCAUAGUUUUUGAUAAAAUAUGUAAAUUGAAACUCUAAUAUUUUCUUUCCACACCUGGAAGGUCAUUUUGAAUAUCUCUUGGGAGCCUGCAUCUCUUCCUUAUGAUCAGUUUCCUAGCACAGCGACUCAAGGGCCUGAUGCGUCAGGCUGCUGAGAUAUCUAUCUGUUCCGACAAAGGCUGCCUCAGUGCCAUGAAAACACAUCACGUGCUGCAAGUCCUGGCAACAUUUAUGUCUCCAAUGCAAAAUUGUGGAUUUCUGCCAAGAAUUUACCUGCCUAUUCUCCAAGGACAAACAGUGUGUGUUGCAGCCCUAAAACUACAUAUUUUCCUGCUACUUCAAAAUCUCCAUAAAAGGGCUGUGAGUUUCCAAUUUAGUCAACCAGGUGCACCAAUGUGAUAAGGUUGGUCCCUGCUGGAGGUUCUCCUUCCUACUUCCUUUCCUGACUGUGACCUAGUGACAUUCAAACACACCAGUGAAAUUCCCUCACUCCUUUUCUUGUGUGUCCCACCCUGAACCUCAAUAAAUGUACUUGCUCACAGGUUCUCUCUCUCUCUCUGCUUCCCAUCUGCUUGGGUGAUCCUGAUCCCUUCGUGCUCAUUCCCAUGUGAUUCCCCUUUCAGCAUGCAGUGAUCCUGUCUCUCUGGGACCUGUGAGCAUCAUAAACUGUUUUUUCCUGAGCCUCUCCUGUUUCUUCUCGUGGCCACACCUGACUUACCAUCUCAUGAAAGAAUGCAAAACAGUGAUUAUACUUUUUUUUUCCUUUAGGAAGGAGAGUAACAGAAGGAUCAGUUUCCAUUGAAAGUGCUAUGAUACAAU